GGGGGUAUAGCUCAGUGGUAGAGCAUUUGACUGCAGAUCGAGAGGUCCAUGGUUCGACUGCGUGUGCCCCCU
rnacentral:tRNA from 1 species